UGCUCACUUUUGAAAAAGAAGAUGAGAAACACAAUUUUGUGGCUGGCAGUGGUUGGCUUGAGAUCAGGUUUAUUGAAGAUGAAACGAAUAACUGAUCUUGGACAUCUAAAUGCUAUUGUAUCCAUUAUGCAGUUGGCAUGAAUGAAAAAGCAGUGCGAACCAAAUUUGUCCAUGUCUGCUACAUCAGCGAAUUCUGUUUACAAGGCCAACACAUUUGAGUCAUUGACUAAAUAGCAAACGGCAAACCAAAUUUUUUAUCCUGACACCUGCCCAAGUCCAUCAAACUCCUUUGGGAGAUGGAAGUUCCACAACCAGUGUUGUGGUGUCUCCGGCCAUUGGAUUCUCCUUCUCCUAACCCAAGGUUCAACAAAACAACCACCUUAAUUUC